AUGGAGUUGCAGACUCUACAGGAGGCUCUGAAAGUGGAAAUUCAGGUUCACCAGAAACUGGUUGCCCAAAUGAAGCAAGAUCCACAGAAUGCUGAUUUGAAGAAGCAACUUCAUGAACUUCAAGCCAAAAUCACAGCUUUGAGUGAGAAACAGGAUGCCUUGACACAUUGAAGAAAAACAUAGAUGUCAUUUCUGCAUGUUUGAUACAAAUGAUAUUUUUGCACAAAAAAACACCUACAGUGGGAAGAAUCAUCAAAAAAUACACAGAUAUUCU
rnacentral:lncRNA from 11 species